UACAGAGGUCCCAAGCGUUGUUCGGAUUCAUUGGGCGUAAAGGGUGUGUAGGUGGCGCCGUAAGUCGGGUGUGAAAUUUCGGAGCUUAACUCCGAACCUGCAUUCGAUACUGCGGUGCUUGAGGACUGGAGAGGAGACUGGAAUUCAUGGUGUAGCAGUGAAAUGCGUAGAGAUCAUGAGGAAGACCAGUGGCGAAGGCGGGUCUCUGGACAGUUCCUGACGCUGAGGCACGAAGGUCAGGGGAGCAAACGGG
rnacentral:rRNA from 1 species